GACUGUGAUGUAUACAAAAUAAUCCCCUCAGACUGUGCCCCGCCUUGGCUAAGGCAUCCGCCACUUGAUUCAUUUCCCGAUAACAAUGCCCCACCGUCCACUCCACACCCUGCAUUGCCAGUAAACCUAUGCAUAUCUCACUUACACUUACAGAUCAGCAACACAUAAUUAUCAGUAAGAAUUUAAAUUACAUCUGAUGAAUGCAAAAAACAUCAAAAUACACGAAAUAAAUUCUCUUUUAAGACGACAGAGUACAGAUAACCAAGUUCACUCUUUGAAAACAAUCUACAUUUAGACUAACUUCUUGUGAAAUGGUGCAAUGAACAGGCAGGUGCACCUUCGUAUCCUGUGUUCUUGGGGAGAAGGGAUGGACUAGAAUCAAAUGCUGCUUGGGUAGACUACCCCUCACCUUCAAGUUCCUGGGAGACAGUGGUGACAUAUGCCAAUUCUAAAGGUUUGGAUGAGCAAGACUUGGUUACACUCUUAGGUAAUGCUUUCUUGAUUUCUGAGUUCUGACAUGUUGAUAAAACUUAGGUCAAUGGGCAACUAAAUGGAUUUUGUUUCAUUCCGAUUGGUAUUUCAGGGGCACAUACAAUGGGAAGAACACAUUGCCAGUUCAUCAGGGAUCGCCUUUACAAUUUCAAGAGCACAGGUAAACCAGACCCCAGAAUGAAGAAGUCUUUACUGAAAGAUCUGAGGCAGCAAUGCCCUCCCAAUACACCAAAAGGGAAAGAAGAUCCUCUUGUCUAUUUAAACCCUGAAAAUGGCCCGGGAUACAAGUUUACUAACAGCUACUACAAAAGGGUAGAGUCCUAUCAAGCUGUUCUUGGAGUUGAUCAGCAGGUAUUGUGGGGUAACCACUCGCUGGUUGAUGCAUAUGCAAAAUAUUUCGAGCAAUUCCGCAGAGAAUUUGCUUUGUCAAUAAGCAGAAUGGGAGGCCUUAGAGUUUUGACUGGGAAGAAGGGGGAAAUACGGCGGAAUUGCCGUUUCACAAAUGGAAAUAAUCCUAGCAUCAAGUAGAGCUGAUUUAUCCUAAGUUUAUACAUGUUAUUUGUUAUUUUUGUACAAGUGUAUUAAACAAGAUGAAGAAGAACAUCCGAGCAAUAAAACAUUCAAUGUCCAAUGUUCCCUAAAAUAUAACGCUAUCAAGAAUUUCUAUGAUGACAUGUUCUAGUAAAUCCUAGCAAAGAAAGCCUCUGCAAAUAUUUGUUGAAGAAUUGUUAAUAGACAGUCAACAAUCUCUAAAUACGCAUCUUCGCGCUAAUUUUUGAAAGCGGACGAACUAAAUCGAUUGCAUUGCUAAGCGUGUGGUAAUUGAAAUUAAUAGAAGUAACAAAGUUGAUUUAAAACCUAAAAGAACUGAUUGAAAACUCGAAAAUAAAUAUAAAGGAAGUGGACCUAAAUCUGACUCAUCAUAGAUUGUUAUUUGUCCUGCCUUGAUCAGCUCAGGGAUUUAAACUUGCUGUGCAAUAGUGACUAAUAUGGAAAGAAAUAAUUAAGGAAAUUGAUGAAAAUUUCUCGUAAUAAAACUCGCCAUCAGCUUCAACCAAAAAAAGGGGGGGGGGUGUAGACCCAUGAUUGCCUCAACAAUGUAGAUUUACACAAAUGACGAAAGAAAGUUCAAUAAAGUUGAGUCUAGUUCUAAUUGUAAUUUGUAGAAUAUCUAAAUGAGAGUUAAAUCCUAAAGGAACUAGACAGGUUCUUCAAAUAGUCAUUUUUCGUUGUUUUUGAGAAUUAUCUCUUUUUUACCUUGUCCACAAGUAUUUAUAGUUGAGAUUUCUUGUAGUAAUUGCUAUGAUGACUAACUGGUUCCAGAUGAUUUUCCUAUGUUUCUCUAUCUUCUAAGGUCCCCUAGUCCACUAGAUUAGUCGCUAUUUUGCCAACCACAAUUUCACCAAAUUAGCCACUAUCUUAAUCUAUGGUGUUGUAACAACCUCGUCUCAUGACUCUAUCAUCAGCUAGCACCUCUCAUGCCAAAAUCAUCUGUAUCAAUAUCAUCUGUCAUCAGUACCAGUAUGCUAUCGAUAACGACUUGUCGAUCACCACUAGUUGGAUUACCCACCACUGAUGAAUGUCAUCGAUAACAGCACUUAGAUCAGCCACAUAGUCGAUUCAUAUUGCACUAACAGCCAUCUCACGGGCUCUUAAACAAGUCUCUUUAAGCUAGAUUUCACAUAGCUCCUAAGAGCACAAACCAUGUUUUGCACGUUAAGACUUGUUUGAUAAUCUAAUUCAAUAUUUAAACUUAAAUAUGUUUAGUCCUUAAUAUUCAGACAUGUUUAGUAACAAAAAAUAGAAUAUUUAUGUUUGACAAAAUUAAAAUAUGAAAUCUGAAUUCAUUAAGUUAUUAAAUUAUAAAUACUGAAAUCUUAACAUUUGAGUGCAUUUUGCGUUAAGUAAUAAGUAAAUAGUUUAUUACUUAUUUUUUAAAGUAAAUUUUGCCUACAUAAUUCAAACCCACUUAAUUAAUUAAGAUGAUAUAUUUUUGGCUAUCAAACAUAUAUGAACAUGCUAAGAUCUCAUCCAUUAUGUAAAUAUUGAAUUGGAUUGUCAAACCAGGCCUAAGGUCCCAUUUGGGGUUGCGGUGUUUUUGAUAAAAAAAAGAAGAAGUAAUUUUAGGUGUUAAAAGUAUUUUUAAAGUGUUUGGUGAACAUCAUCCCAUAAAAUUAGGAGUGGAACUUUUGAUGUUAAAAGCACUUUUAGCAAAAGUUCAAAUUUAGUGCUUUUAGAGUAACUUUGUGAUUUAAAAAAUAAAAUAUCAAAUUUAAUCAUCUUAUCCUAUAUUAUGAACCAAAUAAAGAGAUAAAUACUUUAAAAAUUUUCAAAUUACACAUUAUCCAAUAUAAUAAACACUUAUUGAAUUAUGUCUCCAAACAAUAAAUUUAAAAGUACUUAAGCAGUUGAUAAGUACUUUUAUCAAAAGUUCUACUAGAGAAGUACUCUUCAAUAAACUAUUACAAUCCCAAACGGGCCCUAAGUGAUUUUAAAUUAUUUAGGCAAAACUUACUCUAAAAGUAACUGUUCACUUAUUAUUUAAAACACAAUACACUCAAAUGUUAAGAUAUCAUUACUUAAAGAUUUGAUACUUUAAUAGAUUUAGAUUUCAGAUUUCAAUUUUAUCAAAAGCAGCCUAAAUCUCAUCUCAAGCUAGUUUCUGCCUAAGCUCCUCAUCAGCUUCAUGCAUGUCCAUAACUACUGCUGAUGAGUGGCGGCUAAAUUUACUCAAACAAUGUGUGAAAGAAAGAAGAUUUUGGUUACUCCUAACUUGCGCGAAGAAUUCUUGGACAGCCUCAAUCCAUGCGACAGAAGAUUUUAGACUGUAUUAUCCAGAACCGAAAGAUUAAGAGAAUCAAGGCUUCAUGAGUGAUCACAAUAACUAAACUGCAGCCCAUUAGAAACAGAUAAAACUAGAGAAUGCAAAAGUUCUUGUGCCAUGUAUGCAUGCCAAGAGAUGAUUAAGAUAGUUUUUAUUUGCACUCGAUUUAUCUUUAGGAUUCUUAUAUAUAGCUGAAUUUUCAGAUAGCAACAGUUAAAUAUCGCAAAGUAUUAAGUUAAAAAAAAGUUGGAAUAAGUUAUACAAUUUAAAUACAAUUCUCUAGAUUUUCCUAAUCGAAUGUAUUGAUGGGUGUGGAUACCUCGGCCAUCUUGACUCAGGAGGUACCUUGGUUAUCCUGACCUCGAAAAUACCUGGACAAGUUGGGUUUUGCCGGUCCCCAUUUGGAUGACUUGUUUAUUUGAGCACUGUGAUCAGAUUGAUGAUUGAUAUGAUUAAUAUGACAACAAACCACUCUAUAAUUCAAUCCUACUUCUGAUACAGUCGUUAUGUCUUAUCUUACGAGAUCAUGCUGCUAAUAGAUCUCAUUAUUCUAUUCCCUAACUCUUUUAGUAUAAAUACAACCCUUGCUCACUCAAAAGGGGGCACUUCAACUUGGUCAAUACAACUCCUGACUAUUAUUGACUUAAGCAUUGGAAUGACCCCGAGGGAUUUAGCCCCAACCACUUCUUAUUUUAUAAGUGAGAUCGUUUUGUGCUUGACCUCGGACGUAGCUGCUAUUGUUUUUGCUAGUGAAGCACACUAUCGGUAGAUAGGACGAGCGGAGAUUCUUAGAAAGAGCAAACUAUAGUCCGUUUGAUUUGUUCCUCUCUGAAAAAUUACAUGGUUAUAAACCCAGCUCGAACCGGCUGAUUAGACCCAAAAAACCACCAAUUGGACUGUUUUCCGGGUUGGUUAACCCCUCAAAUCUGGACGGCUUCAAAAGAUGUUCAAUUUCCUUAAAAAAAAAAAAAAAAAAAAACCUGUGAAUCGCUGAUUUGGACCGGUUUGAAGGGAACCGGUCUGGUUUAACAUUAGUAGUUCAAUUAAUGCUAAAAUUAAAUGUUCGUCAAGACAACCCAAUUUUGGUAUACAAUCAAUUACCUAUCCAUAAUUGUCCCAAAUUACUACACAUUAAGCAAUUAACCGUUUAUUAUCCUUAAUCUUCUCUCUAGCUCCCUCCUUCCAUAAAAUGCAAAAACUAAGAUAUUUUAUUUGGGCACAAGAACACUACUUAUUGAUGUCUAAAUACAUGCACGUAAUUUAUACUUACAUAUGUACUAAAACCUGUUUUCUGACUCUUUAAUAUAUUCCUAACUUCGCACAUUUUAGUUCAAUUCCUUUUACAAGAUUAUGACUUUUCAUUUGAUUUUUUUUAAUUUUUGAAUAGUAAACUAUAGCUUUUGAAAACAUAAAAUGUGCUUUGCUAAAAUAUCUAAAGUAACCUGAAGUAAUGCUCCUUACUUCAAUCAAUAAAAGUUGUGUCCAUAAUUCAAAUAAUAUCAUUUAUGUAACUAGAAUAAUUGACGUGAUUACUUUUACAAAAUGAAAAACUUUACGAAUACAAAUGAUUUACAUAACUAAUAAAUUUAUCUAAUAUUUUAUGGGUAAAUUAUGGACUAAUAACAGUUAGCCUGCCUGUUGAAGUGAAUAGGCUUAGUAAAAAACCGAGUAAAUUAGCUAUGCAUAUACUUUAAUGAGAAACUCUAAGCUACUCAGUGGCGUGGUCCACUUUUGUAAAAUUUAAGUCGAAGCCCUUACUCAUAUAAUGUAUUGUUCUCUUUAUUAUUAUUAAUAAAAUUUCUAUCGUUUCUGGAAAAAAAAAAAAGAAUAGGUUGGGAUUCAAAUCCUUGGAAAAUUAUCUGAUUUACCAGAAGGCCUUGUAAUGCAAUGUAAGUUACUUCUCUUGUUUUUAAAUUAAUUAGCGGCACGAGUUUUACUCAAGUUGGUUUAUUUGAUGAAUGAACAACGUCUCUUUUCUUCCACGGCAUAGGAUCUAAUUUUGUUGUCUAUAGACGUUCAUCUAGAAGAGCAUCAAUGUCAAACAGACAGAAUACGACACACAUUGAGUUAAUAAAAUACCCUCAACAUUCUCAUCCUUGAAAAGGAACAAAAUAGCAGUCAAUAUUUCCCCAAAAUGUAAAGAUUAGCAGAGAAAACGUGGAUCUGAGGUCUAUCUAGUUAAAUUCUAUCUGUCCAGUUUUGUGUUGAAAUAAAUUUAUAUAAAAUUUGAUAUAAUCAUAAAAAUUUUCAACUCAUACAACUAAAUUGGUAUAAAAUUCAAUGUUACAUUAAAAUUGCACUGAAUUUACUAUAAAUGUUAUAAAUAUUGCAUUAAUCCAACUGAACUGGAUAGAACUUAAUUGGAGAGGGCUGAUUCCAGAAAAAGUCUAUGAUCAGCUAUAACACUUGCAUUUAGUUCCCACAUAAGCAGUACAACUGCUACGGCAAAACAGAGACUGACCUUUAUCUGCCUGAGUUCUUGGUACAGUAAUAUUUUACGUCGAGGAUUCAGCUCCAAAUCACUAUAUAAGUGCAUUCCACUAGCAAGGUCUCCACAUCCAAAUCUCCAGCAGAACAUAGCAGCACUUGCAUGUAAUCUGCUUUAAUGGAUUUCUCCAAAGUUCUGAUUAGUCUUUUUGCUCUUCAAGUAACGAUCAAUUUGUUUUCAAUCCAAGCUGUUUCAGCAGCACGAUCAGAUCUUUUCCGAGAAUACAUUGGGGCAGAGUUCAAGAAUGUCAAAUUCUCAGACGUGCCAAUUCAUUCCAAUGUCGAUUUCCACUUCAUCCUAUCAUUCGCUAUCGAUUAUGAUACCUCAUCUUCUCCCUCGCCAACAGAUGGAAACUUCAACGUGUUCUGGGACACGGAUAAUCUCAGCCCUGAUGCUGUCUCAGCGAUCAAAAGUCAGCAUCCAAACGUGAAAGUAGCUCUAAGCUUAGGAGGUGAUAGUAUAGGAGAUGGUCAGUCUGUUUAUUUCCAGCCUUCUUCAGUUGACUCAUGGGUUUCCAAUGCUGUCUCCUCUCUUACAAAAAUCAUCCAACAAUACAAUCUGGAUGGUAUCGACAUUGACUACGAGCAUUUCCAUGCAGAUCCUGACACUUUUUCUCAAUGCAUUGGUAAACUUAUAUCGACUCUCAAGAAAAAUGGGGUGAUCUCUUUCGCAUCAAUUGCCCCUUUUGAUGAAGAUGAUGUUCAAAGCCAUUAUCAAGCUCUCUGGAAUAGCCAUGGCCAACUUAUUGACUUAGUCAAUUUCCAGUUUUAUGCCUAUGAUCAGGGGACUACUGUUGAUCAGUUCAUGGACUAUUUUUCUCAGCAAAUAAGCAAUUAUGAUGGUGGGAAAAUCUUGGCCAGUUUCAUCAGUGAUGGAAGUGGUGGAUUAUCACCACAAGAUGGAUUUUUUACAGCUUGUACUAGGCUCAAGAGUCAGGGACAACUUGGUGGGAUCUUUGUUUGGUCUGCUGAUGAUUCUAAGGCAGAAGGUUUUCGGUACGAGAAGCAAUCACAAGCACUUCUAGCAAUCCCUCAUUAACCUUGUAUUGUAUAAUUGUUAGUCUCUAUUGAUGUAUUUCAUCUAAAGGAAACUAUAUCCCCAUCUUUGGUAUGACUGUCUGUGGAUUAUAGUAGAAAUUGAUACUCAAUAUGAAAAAUCUUGUUUGUCCUAUGGUUUGGUUCCAGGAAAUGUAUCUGGCUUUCCUUUCUUGUUUUAGAUUGAGGUAGCAAAUUAUUCAGCUAUAAGGUCUACUAGAAUGGUCCAAUAACUUUUGGUCUAAACCCAUAAGUUUAAAAUGAUUAAUUCAAAGUUAUUAUAGCCCAAUGGAUCCAUAUAUUAUACCAAUCCUUUCUUCCUUGAGAUCAACACCGUUAUGAUCCAAAUUGUCCACUUAAUCGUACACACAGAUUCUUCUGGAAAUGACUCGUACACAUUUUAAAGGUGGUUUCCAUCCAUAAGUAUUGACAUUGUCAUAAUAUAUCCAAAUUGUCCACUUAAUCGUGUACGGAUUCUUUUAGAAAUAACUUGUACAAGCUUUAGAGAUAGUUCUUGUCCAUAACUCAUACAAGUUUAAGAGCUGAUCCCAUCCAAUGUAAUAUUUAGUAUGUAGUCCGCAGCCUCUUGUAGUAGAAAUGACUCAUACAGACUUUUAAAAUGGUUCUAUCCAUAAGUAUCGACAUCGUUAUGAUCCAAACUAUUAACUUAUCACUCAUACAGGCUAUUUAGUUGUGCGCAAAUUCAUCUAGAAAUAACCCGUAUAAGCUUUAGAGAUGAUUCAUGUCCAUAAGUAUGACUUCUAUAGGCGAUAAAAAUGGUUUCCGUCCAACAUGGUACUUAGUACUUAAUCCCGUAACCUCUAGUAGUGGCCCCUGUUGAACCUAGCCCUUAGCCGUGGCCUGCACUUAGUUUCUUGCACUUCAACUAACACACGUUCACCCUCACAUUGUGCAUAGAUCACGUGACGAGAUUUAUUUUGAUACCAUUUGUAACGUUCCAAGUUGACCAAACUGACCCAAUAACUUUUUGAACAAAAAUCAUGAGUUUAAAAUGAUUAAUCGAAAAUCACUAAUAAUUCAGUGGACUCAGGUAUAUUACACCAAUCCUUUCUUCCAAAAGGUCUCAAUGUGGAACGGAACUGAGUCUCGCAACCACUCUACAAUACUGGUCGCUAUGUAGCCACCAGGUGUCGGCUCUGUGACCUAUCACAAUUCACAUCUACCGUAAAAGACGAGGCACGAAAGAGAAGUGAACGCCAAGUUCGACCCCAACUCUGCACUGUCAAAGUAUCGGCCAAAAUAUCAAGGCAAAAAUUAUUGCUACAAUUGACUAAUCGUGAAAAAUUAAUUAGUACUUUAUUGAAUAAAACUAACCACUUCUUUAUUAGCAGAACUUACUAGCUCAUUGAAUUAAUCAACACUACUUUUUAGCAAAACAUACGGUCUCACAUAGCAAAAAUUUAUUGAUCCAUUAGGGGGUCUUAUUAAUUUCUGAGCAAAAUUUAGUGCUUUUACAAAAUUUACUAGUUUAUUGAAAACUAAUGUCAAUUUCUAGUGAAACUUACGAAUAUUUUUGUGACAAAACUAAUUACUAUCAUUUAAAAAACCAUCAUGAUUUUUUGGCAGAAUUUACCAUUUUUUUCUUUAAUAUUGACUAACUAGAUUAAUCCUUCAUACAUCUUCAACAUAGGAAUUGUUUUUUUGCAUGAUAAUAUCUUCAAAUUUCAUCACAAAGAUUAUACUUAUCCACUAUUAAAAUUCAUCACAAAGAUUAGGAUGAUAAGUAAUAUUUUUUUUCCCUAAACCUGAUAUUUGCUAACAAAUUAUCAACUUGAUGUAUACCAAUUUUUGGAACAAGUUUUCCCCCUAUUGCUAUCACUGGCUUCUCCCAUAUUGGAUUGUUAGAGAAAUUGUAGUAAACAACAAAACUAAACUAGACAAAUGCAGAGACUUUGAGGCUUGAAAUCACUUUUCUUAAGGUGUUAUUUGUCUCUAUUAGACAAAUUGCCUCAAGAAUACAACAAAGUCUAAGAACUAUCAAAUGAAAAGUAAAAAAGUGAUUUAAUUCUGUUGAAAUCCUACUAUUUAAAAGAAUUGAAGCACCUAUCCAAGGCACUAUCAGAGGAUGCAAUCCUUAUUGAAUAGGUGUAUAGGUGGUUAACCAAUUAACAGAUAUGUCUGCAAAAUGUAACUGUCAACCGCCAUUAACUACCCCGAUCAGGAAAGCCCCAAGGUGCCCCAAGCGCCCAAGUGCCCUUGUCAAGAUUUUAUAUAUCUUGAAAUAACUUUCCCACCAAACUUUCCCUCCAAACUAAUAUUUUGGAACAAGUUUGUAAAGGAAACAAGACAACAAUUCAUCAACAGACAAUGUGCACUCUAUCCUUUUUCAAUGUGGGACAAUGAACUUCAGCACACUCAUUACAAACUAUUUCCAACAAUCCCCCACUUAGUUUGUAAUGAAAUUAAAUCAGCACUCACAUGACCUUGCAUAGAGAAAGGUGUUUGUGAACUUAAAACCUUCUCUUAGUGUAAAUAUUUCACUUGUUCUAACAAGUUAUGGUGGCUGUGUUGCUUAAACCAUAACUUUAAAGUUAAAACAGAAAUAGCACACACAAGAUUAUAUCUUUUCGGAGAAUAGUUCACGAAAUGAUUUUAGCACUUUUACCGGCCGUUUGCUCCAUCCUAGGUUCAUAAUCAUGUACAAAAGAAAACCCCCACUGUUGCUAGGAGCGGCACCACUCCCAUGAUCAUAUAGGUGAAGUACAUUUCGAGCUUUUAUUACCAAGGCACUGUGAAACCGUAUUUAACUUCAUUAAGAGUAUGAUACUUAGCCUCUUAAGUAACAAACUGCACUAGUACCUUGGAAUGGUAUAAUACAAUUUCUAGUGCUCACAACCACUUAUUAGUAACUUGUUAUUACCCUUUAAACCUUUCACCUAGUGUUAGUGCUAGAAGAGAGGUUGGGUUACCAUUACUAGUGGUUUUAGACAACGGGUUUUAACCCCAUUCCCAAUGACGUUGCUUACACUACAUCUCUUGAGAGAGCUUUAGUGAAUGGAUCCACCAGGUUGUUGAAUGAUCUAACAUACACCACUGUGACUAUGCCAUCAUUCAAUAAUUGUCUGACAUAUUCAUGUCUUAGACUUAUAUGUCUAGAUUUGCCGUUAUAUAUUCUAUUUAACGCUCUAGACAUAGUGGCUUCGCUAUCACAAUGCAAAGAAAUGGCUGGCAUCGGUUUUGGCCACAACUCGAUGUCUAACAGUAAGUUUCUUAGCCAUUCGGCCUCUUUGCAUGCAGCUGCUAAGGCUACAAAUUCAGCCUCCAUGGUGGAAUGAGUUAUGAAAGUUUGUUUCUUUGAUGCCCAAGAAACAGCUCCUCCACCCAACAUAAAAAUCCAUCCAGAAGUAGACACUUUGUCACAUACACUGGUUGCCCAACUUGCAUCAGAAUAGCCUUCAAGUACAACUGGAAAUUUGUUAUAGGAAAGCUCUAAAUCUUUUGUCCUUUUAAGAUAUCCAAGCACUCUGCCUAUAGCUUUCCAAUGCUCUAUACCAGGAUUCUUAGUGUACCUAGCAAGUCUACAAACUGCAUAUGAAAUAUUUGGCCGAGUACAAUGCAUAGCGUACAUUAGGCUACCAAUUGCACUAGCACACUCUAAUUGAGCAAUCAGCUUUCCAGAAUUUUCAAACAACUUAAAGUUAGGAUCAUAAGGAGUGCUUACUUCUUUUAUCUUCAAAUGUUGAUACUUGUUCAAAACUUUCUCAACAUAAUGAGAUUCACUUAAAGAAUAGCCUCCACUAUGUUUCUUAACUUUAAUUCCUAAGAUAGUAUCUACUUCUCCAAGAUCUUUCAUAUUGAAUAUAUAAGACAAAUACUUCUUAGUUUCUUCAAUGCCUUUGUAAUUAGUACCAACAAUUAGCAUGUCAUCCACAUAUAGACAAAUUAUCACACCAUACUCUCUAGUGAACAUGGAAUAAAUGCACUUAUCAACAUUAUUAUAUUUAAAACCAUUACAGAGUAUAGCAGAUUCAAACUUUUGAUGCCGUUGUUUAGGUACUUGUUUUAAACCAUACAAAGAUCUUAUCAGUUUGCAAACUUUCUUUUCAUUUCCUGGUAGAACAAAACCUUCUGGUUGAUCCAUAUACACCUCUUCAUUUAAGUCACCAUUUAAAAAGGCCGUUUUUACAUCCAUUUGAUGUACACACAAAUCAAACAUUGAAGCCAAUGCUAAUAGCACUCUUAUAGAUGUAAUUCUAGCCACUGGUGCAUAAGUAUCAAAAUAAUCGAUUCCCUCUUUUUGCCUAAAUCCUUUUGCAACUAAUCUUGCCUUAAAAGUUUGUACAGAUCCAUCAGUAGCGUAUUUCUUUCGAAAUACCCACUUACAGCCAAUUGGUUUAGAACCCGGAGGCAAAUCAACUAGAAUCCAAGAAUGAUUACUCGAUAAUGAAUCCAUUUCAUCAUUAAUUGCCUCUCUCCAAAACGAUGCAUCUCUUGAUUUCAUAGUUUCACUAAAAGUUUUAGGAUAAUAUUUUACAGUUAACAAGAUAGGAAUCUUGUCAAGUAGAAAUUGUCUAUCGCCUUCAACUAAAAAAACAAUAGCUUGUGAAUCUAUAAAAUCAGAGGAUAAAUGUUUUUCCUUCCAUUGCCUCUGACUCCUCCUCAAUUCACUUGGAACCUCUACUGCAUCCCUUUUAUUAUUAUUAGAGAGUCUAGCAUUGGAAAUGGGCGGUGGCUCUUGGCUUGAAUCCGUACUCAUUGUCGAAUUAUAAAGAAAUUUAUCUUCCAAAAAUUUGACAACUCUAGAUUCCACAAUGACGUUAGAAUCUAAAUCUAGCAACCGAUAUGCUUUUAAAUUUUCAGCAUAGCCUACAAACACACUUUUAAGUGCUCGAGUUCCCAAUUUAGUUCUUUUAUGAUCAGGGACUCUAUAAAAGGCUAUACAACCCCAAAUUCGAAAAUACUUCAAGUUUGGUUUUCUACCUUUCCAUAAUUCAUAUGGUGAUAUCUUGGAUUUAAGCGAAAUUACUCGAUUAUGUAUAUGACAAGCAGCUAGUAAAGCCUCUCCCCAUAAAUUUUUAGGCAAUCCAGAACUUAUAAUCAUGGCAUUUACCAUGUUUUUCUACAUUUUAAGGGCCAAGCAAGCAUUUUCUACUCAUUGUAAUACAUUUUUUACAUCAUUUAAUUUACUUACAACACCAGGUAUACCAUUUAUUAUUCACAUAUAUGUCUUUUCCUCUACUUCACCUUAUUUAACUCUACACCUCUAUUUUAUAUACACUGCAUGGUCAGUAGAAGGACAAACUAAGAUUGCGUGAUGAGCAUGGACCAACUACUGGAUGCACAAUAAUUCAUAUCAAUUGUAAUACUGUGGCUAUAACUUGUAACUUAUUUACAACAGGAUGUACAUUCAUUUACUUGUUAAAUGUGACUUUGUUUCUCUCCUCUUUCCCUCAUUCCGCUCGACGCUUUACUCGAUGUAAUACCCCUACAUCUUUGAAUAACUACUCUCCCAUUAUAGUCCAUCACUAAAAAGCUGCAUGCUCAUACAUACACAUACGGUACAACUUCACUAUUCUUCUAUCAUUUUCAUUUUAUGUAUUUACUGAAUCUAAUAUUCAGAAGGUUGCUGGUAUAAGAUUCACAAAGUUGCUGACAUAGUUCAAUCACAUUACCUUGGCCCGCUGAGCGCUUUAUGUUUCACCGAACUCGGACAGCGCAGUUGCUUCUGCUAUUAAGUUGCACGAAAAAUGGUGGGCAACGUGAGAUAAUGAAUUCCCUCUUUAAUUCUCUUCUACCUUGUCGCCUGCCUUGCACGCAUUGCUCAUAAAAUUUCCUACCAACUUUGGUCUUCUUUUACUGCACUUUUGUUUCACUAUUUGCCUUCUUCCUUCUUCUUCUGAUGGCAUACCUCAACUCUUCUUCUGAUAUCAGUCGAGUACAUUCACAUACCAAGCCCGCUUUCUUCUCUCCAUUUUGUUUUGUGCGGCUAAUUCAAAUUUUC
rnacentral:lncRNA from 1 species